GUUCCAAGGGAUCCUACAAAUGUCUCUAAUCACACGGUGCUGUGAUUGGCUGUGUCCAAAUGCACCGUGUCCAAGUGCACCGCUCCCCAUCAAAUGUUAGGCAUACAAUACCAUAUGUUAAAAAGAAAAAGGAAAAAUUGUCGACGGUGGUGGGUACGCCUUGUCAAUCAAAAGAAAGAUGCCAAAGGUUUUUAUGCUAAUCUUGUGAAAGAACUGAAAAAAACAGAUCAUGAAGAAUUUUUUUUUAUUUCGGAUGUGGCCAGAGCAAUUUGAUAUUCUAAUAAAUCUUCAACCGUAUCUGGUAAAAAGAAGCAUUCGAGCAGCACUCCCAACAGAAAUACGGUUUGCUGUUACAUUAAUGUACCUUGCUCAAGGUGAUAGUGCCAGAUCGAAACAUUUGGAAUAUAGGCUUGGAAAAUCUACUAUACACAAAGUUAUUAAUGAAACAUGCCAAGCAUUGUGGCUUGCAUUAAAUCCUAUGUAUUAAAACCCAAAGUUCGUAAUGAUUGGGAACAGAUUAGUGAAGACUUCAUGAAUAAAUGGCAAUUCCCGAACUGCGUAGGAGCAAUAAAUGGACGUCAUAUGCGUAUAUAAGUUCCUUCCAAUUCAGGAUCUGCUUUUUAUAACUACAAACAAUUUUUCAGUAUAGUGUUGCUUGCAACUUGUGAUGCUAACUAUAAAUGUACAUGGAUUGAUGUUGGCCAAUAUGGUUCCAUGAGUGACGGUGGUAUAUGGGCAAAUACAGAUUUUGCACAAGAUUUACAGAGUGGAACUGUGGAUCUGCCUACUCCUAAACCACUCCCUGGGACAGACAUUGAUUUUCCAUACGUAUUUGUGGGAGAUGAAGCAUUUCCUUUGACUACUUAUCUGAUGCGCCCAUAUUCAUAUAAAACUAGAGGUGGUCUGACAGAGAAUAUGCGAAUAUUUAAUUAUAGGUUAUCUCGUUGUCAUCGAACAAUUGAAAAUACGUUUGGCAUCCUUACUGCACGCUGGCAGAUUUUACAUAAAGCUAUUUUUAUGUCUGUGGAAAAUAGCGAAAUGUUAAUCAAAGCACUCGUAUGCCUUCAUAAUUUUAUAAUGAUUGGUGAAGAAAGCUUAGAAGGACAUGAAAGACGAUACUGACUGUCCUCAACAUUAUUUUGAUCGAGAAGAAAAUUACAUUAUGAGAGAAAAACGUUAGAAGCAACAAUAUUCUGCUUAUUUUACGGAUUAAGUAGAGUAGGAGCCAAUCGAGCUGGAUCUGUUUCCAUAGGUUUAAGAAACUAUUUGCGAGAUUAUUUUGCUUCUGAUAUUGGAAAAUCUCAGGUACCUUGGCAAAAUGAAGCUGCACUUGAAGCUACAAAUAUCAAUCUACCACUGGAUAAAUGAUGACUAAAUGAUAUUUAAAUAUGUAACGAGCCGUUCGCAAAACAAAUAGAACAAGAACCGGAUUAACGAUAAUCAAACAACUCAUCACGAAACCGAACACGCGACAAACCGAUGUAAACAUCAGCGACCGACCGCAAAGAUCACAACAUAAUAUCAUGUUAAAAGUAGUAUAAAAGACCGCACGAAAAGCUCAGUGGAGAGCAGUCUUCCG